GAGUCCUUAUCUCAGUGGUAGAGUAUUUGACUAAAGAUCAAGAGGUCACUGGUUCAACUUUGGCAGGGCCCU
rfam:Capsicum annuum cultivar Zunla-1 chromosome 7, whole genome shotgun sequence